CAGUGGGGAAUUUUGGACAAUGGGCGCAAGCCUGAUCCAGCCAUGCCGCGUGCAGGAUGAAGGCCUUCGGGUUGUAAACUGCUUUUGUACGGAACGAAAGGUUCUGCCCUAAUACGGUGGGAAUAUGACGGUACCGUAAGAAUAAGCACCGGCUAACUACGUGCCAGCAGCCGCGGUAAUACGUAGGGUGCGAGCGUUAAUCGGAAUUACUGGGCGUAAAGCGUGCGCAGGCGGUUAUGUAAGACAGAUGUGAAAUCCCCGGGCUCAACCUGGGAACUGCAUUAGUGACUGCAUAGCUGGAGUACGGCAGAGGGGGAUGGAAUUCCGCGUGUAGCAGUGAAAUGCGUAGAUAUGCGGAGGAACACCGAUGGCGAAGGCAAUCCCCUGGGCCUGUACUGACGCUCAUGCACGAAAGCGUGGGGAGCAAACAGGAUUAGAUACCCUGGUAGUCCACGCCCUAAACGAUGUCAACUGGUUGUUGGGUCUUCACUGACUCAGUAACGAAGCUAACGCG
rnacentral:rRNA from 1 species